UACGUAGGGGGCUAGCGUUGUCCGGAAUCAUUGGGCGUAAAGAGCGUGUAGGCGGCCAGAAAAGUCCGCUGUGAAAACUCGAGGCUCAACUUCGAGCUGUCGGUGGAAACUUUCUGGCUAGAGUCCGGAAGAGGAGAAUGGAAUUCCUGGUGUAGCGGUGAAAUGCGCAGAUAUCAGGAGGAACACCAAUGGCGAAGGCAGCUCGCUGGGACGGUACUGACGCUGAGACGCGAAAGCGUGGGGAGCAAACAGG
rnacentral:rRNA from 1 species